UGAUGAUGUAAACUACAUGUUU
rnacentral:siRNA from 1 species